AUUGAACGCUGGCGGCAGGCCUAACACAUGCAAGUCGAACGCGUGGCGGACGUGUGAGUAAUGUCUGGGAAACUGCCUUAUGGAUGGGGUUAACUCCUGGAACCGGUAGCUAAUACCGCAUACCAUCGGAUGUUCCCAGAUGGGAUUAGCUAGUAGGUGGGGUAACGGCUCACCUAGGCGACGAUCCCUAGCUGGUCUGAGAGGAUGAUCAGCCACACUGGAACUGAGACACGGUCCAGACUCCUACGGGAGGCAGCAGUGGGGAAUAUUCCACAAUGGGCGAAAGCCUGACGCAGCAACGCCGCGUGUAUGAAGAAGGCCUUCGGGUUGUAAAGUACUUUCAGCGGGGAGGCGGUACCCGCAGAAGAAGCCCCGGCUAACUCCGUGUCAGCAGCCGCGGUAAUUC
rnacentral:rRNA from 1 species